CCUACGGGGCGCUGCAGUGGGGAAUAUUGGACAAUGGGGGGAACCCUGAUCCAGCCAUGCCGCGUGUGUGAAGAAGGCCCUCGGGUUGUAAAGCACUUUCAGUGAGGAAGAACGCCUGGUGGUUAAUACCCAUCAGGAAAGACAUCACUCACAGAAGAAGCACCGGCUAACUCCGUGCCAGCAGCCGCGGUAAUACGGAGGGUGCGAGCGUUAAUCGGAAUUACUGGGCGUAAAGCGCGCGUAGGUGGCUUGAUAAGCCGGUUGUGAAAGCCCCGGGCUCAACCUGGGAACGGCAUCCGGAACUGUCAAGCUAGAGUGCAGGAGAGGAAGGUAGAAUUCCCGGUGUAGCGGUGAAAUGCGUAGAGAUCGGGAGGAAUACCAGUGGCGAAGGCGGCCUUCUGGACUGACACUGACACUGAGGUGCGAAAGCGUGGGUAGCAAACAGGAUUAGAUACCCUAGUAGUC
rnacentral:rRNA from 1 species